AGGUCCACUUAACGAUCGAUACAUGUGCCCUAAGAUUAAAAGUACUGUGCAGUGUAAGGAAACAUGUGUGUAUAAGGAUUCAUUCAACUUUGAUGAAAAUUGCAUUGAAGAUUUGCCUCUUCCUACGACAUCAUCUAAGAAAGAAACGCAGAAAGUCGGCAGUGUUCUUGAGGAUGAUACGGAUAGUUGCCAAACCGAGGAUGGCAGUACAAAAACCAGUAUUUAGAGCAAGCAGGAAUGUUAUAAGAAGUCUAUUGGAAAACAAUUAGCGUUCUUUAACCAUUUUGUCUGCAUGUAAGUAAACACAUGCAAUGUAAUAUAACAGAAAUAUUACUAAUUAUUCUUAUCAUUCUAUCAUAUAGAAAACAAUUAUUGUAUAAUAUAACAUUUCAGUAUAAUAUAUUUUCAAACAACAUGUAUAACUGAGAAUUUUAAGCGAGGGAUGGGAGCAUUGGUGUGGGCAGGGGUGGGAGAUAUUCUAGAGCCUAAACAUGUGAGUAGGUUCAAUGACAAGGUAUACUACAUCCUUCAUAUGACAUAUAAACAUCCAAAGAAAACAAUGAAACCGUACAGGUAACAGUAACCAUGAUACUUUUUAAUAUUUUGAAAAACUGACCGCUGAUGCAUCAAUUUUCCUACUGGUUUACAUUGGCAAACAACUACUUUAAAAUGAUACUAAAAUAUAUUUCUGUUUAAUUGUAUUGAUCUUAUUUGGCAGAUUUUAUAUUUCUUACCAAAACUAAUAUUACGCGUAUAUUAAAAGUGAAUAUAAUAAUGCCAUUCAAACUAUGGAAAUGAACAUGUAAACAUUUUGUUUUAUUUUUGCACAGCUACGAUAACUCAAAAUAGCACACUCUCUGACGCAAGAAAUGACAAAGCAGUAUGUCAAGACAGUUCUUUACGUCUCAAAGAAAUCAGAAAACAUUUUCAUAUAGAAGGUUCAGAAAGUGGCAUAUUUUCCGGAUCGGGAUUUUGUAUGGAAGAUACCAUCAGUAAUGACGGAGUUUUGGACUACGAAAGAAAAACAUCUGACAUUGACAGAAGUAAAAGGACAAAAGAGUGGAUUGAAUCACAUUCUAAAUCCAAAUCAUUCGGUAUUUCUACACAACCUGGUUCUGCUGCACACAUGUCAACGGAUGAAACUACAGGUGUUUUACAAGAGGAAAAAGGGACAUUUAAAAAGUUUACAACACCAUAUCUGCCACACUGGUAUGCAAGGAAUUAAGAACUCCGUAUUUUCUAAAGAAGAAUGCUGAAAUAGAGAUUCCAUAUCUCAGUAUAUGUGCUAUAAAAACAUUGGUGUGAUACAAAUAAAAAUAUAAUUAUAAGACAUAAAAGAAAAUCAUAUAUCUAAAUACUUUAUGUAAAUAUUUAUUGAUCUAUCUAUCUGCGUUAGUAUAAAUUAGUGUCUUGAUGUACUUAAUGUGUUAGUGGUAUUUUUAGAUAUUUUUAUUACAUUUUUCUUGACUAACUAUUCUUUCAGGACUUUUAUCGUCAGCUGACAGUUGAUUUUGAUAUUUAAAACAUCGUAUCAAUAUGUUUUUUCUUGUGUUUUUUUUUUGCGUCGCAGCUUUGUAUUUUUGAUACAGCCAGAUUAAUACAAAUUCAAAUAUUUUAACAUCUGACAAAUAAUUUCAACCUCAUUUCAGUAAAAAACGGAUGUUCUUUGUAAUAAAAUGCAUGUUUUCUUAACUUCAUAGCUGUGAAAACACGGAAAAGAUAAAAAAAAAAAUCUUUGUCAGACAAUCUAAGUUUUAAUGAUGUCUAGUUGUACAGCAGUUAUUACGAUCUACCUAGACUGUUCCAAUUAUUUUGAUUUGUCAAAAAAGCAUGGUUGCCAGAUUGCUUGGUCACAUUUUCCCUCAAGGUAUAUAUUAGGAACUUUAAAACAUCUUCUUUCCAGAAACUGUUAGCCCGAUUUAAAUAUAAUUUCACACAAAUGUUCCGUCGGUUUCUGUAACGGAUUGUAAGAUUGUUCAGAUUAAAUGAUUUGUCAAAAUGUCAUAAACACCAGAGGGGGUUGUAUCUUUUUAUAGUAUAGAUCUAUAUGUAUAUAGGGGAAAUUAAAAAAAAGUCUUGUGUUUCUUGAUUGUUUCUUUACCAUGAUUGUUCAAAAUAGUAUGCUUAAAAAAAAACCACCAGAGAUAAAAUAAUUUUAAGAUUUUCAAACAGCAUCUUCUAAAACUUGAAGUUCAAUUUUGAUAUCAUUCCAAGAAAUGUUGCUUUGGUGACCAUCUGUCAAGUCUUCAUAUUAUCCGUUUCGGCGAAAGCAUGGUUUCUAGAUGUUAAAGGAGAAAAAUCUUUAAAAGCCACCGCCUUCUAAACCACUCGUUUACAAAGUGCUAAAAGUGAACUGUUGCGAUCACUCACCAGUCAGCCCGCCCGCUUAGCUCGAUAGGGGGAGCGCAGAUGUACGUAUCGUGGGGUCGUGAGUUCGAUCUUCGGGCGGAACGUAUGUUUUCCUUGACGAUUUGAUAAAAAGCAUUGUGUCAGAAAUCAUUCGUCAUCCACCUCUGAUUCAUGAUGGGAAGUUGGCAGUAACUUGCGGAGAACAGGAUUGUACUGAUACAGAAUCCAUGAACCCUGGUUAGGUUAACUGCGCGCCGUUACAUACCUAAAAUACUGUUGAAAAACGGCCAAAACAAACACUCACCAGUCGUCUUACAUCGUAUUUCCCUCCGUUCGUUCAUCCAUUAACACUUUUAUUUCAAAAGACAACUCCUCAGAAACCACGCAGUGGAAGCUGAUGAAACUUGGUAAAGAUGUUUCCUGGAUUGUUUUAUAUCAAAGGUUUUCAAACAAUUCAAUUCCAUGGAGAAUUCUGGUCGCCAUUGAAUUAAAAAGAAUAAAUCUUUCAGAAACCAUUUGUCAAAUUUUGCUAUCUGCUUGAAUGCGUUCUAUGCUCUCAAAUUAUCUCCUUAUUGAUUUGAAUAGUUUAUUUCCCUUAUAUACAGACAGCGAAACUGAAAUUCUGACGUUUAAUAAAAUUGUUCAAAUUGUUUACGUUUCUAACAUGGCUACCAAAGCUGAAAAUGGAACAUCGCCUCCUAAAGAGCUUGUUCUUACUCAGAAAUAUUCUUGGGGUAACCCUUGACUAUUACAAAAUGAAAUGUUUCCAAUUCUUUAAAAAAAAGCACAAAAUGGCCUAAACAAAUGAUAAAAAUUGGUCAUUUGCUGGACGCUUAUCAAAUUUGGUCAAACGUUGUUUUUAUGCACCUUUUUUCUUGCUUAAAUGUUUUUCCUUAAAAAUUGGUAGUUUAUAUCCGUGCUAAUACAACUAAAGUAAUAAAAUGAACACACAUUAAAAUUGCAACACAGACAAUUAUGCAAAUUGGUCGUUCGUAUAUAUCCUUAACUAAAAGUUGACUUAUAAUAUACAUCGAUUUUACGGCAUUAGAAGUACGGCAAACGUGUUUCUGUCACCGAGAAAACAGAAACAGAAAGGGUAGAUUUCCCGGAGGCACAGAACAUCCCAAACACAGCCAUUGAGUUAUGCUUUGCAAAGUGGGCACGCAACAAAAAGAAACUGCAACGAAAAAUAUAGUAGACGGGUUGCUUCAAAAUCCAAUAGCAAGUAGAUUUUAAUUAUAGGCAAAAUACAAGAAAAUCAUCUUUCUUUAAGCUAUGUAGUCGAUUAUAGAUUUGAUUCCAGAAAUAACGCAGAAGUUCUACAGUGAAAAUAUUUCGUGAUUUAUAUCGGACGACGAUAUCCGCAUAAUUCGUGCUGUUGAAAUGGCGGCCAAUAAAUUGCGCCGUACUUUCUUCAAUAUUUUAAACGGUGUCUUCUCCCAGAUAACCUUUUUAAAUAUAUACAUAGCCAAUUUCAUUCCUAAAGCUUUAUAUGGAUGUGAAGUGUUUCACCCAAAACUCCUCUCUCGUUUUCUUGGAACAGUCUGAUAGGCUUUGCCGAAAUCAGCAUGGAAGAUUAUGCUUGAUAAAACAUUUAUAUGCGUAUACAUAAACAUACAUGUAUAUAUUUAUCGUGUGGAUGAAAAUGAAAGACACGCAAGACUAUAGAUCAUCUAAUUCUUAGGACAUUUUACGAUAGGAACAAACCUUGUGACAUUUUGGAAUAUAUGUCGUGACGUACCGGCAAUGGAAACAUACUGUAACUUGUGUUGUUCCAAAAAUGAUUAGCUCUGAUAUUUAAUGCUGUUUUACGUGUUUAAUAGAAAAUCAGCGUAAUCAGAUGUGUGAUUCGUUACUAGGUCUUGUUGCAUAUAGAAGAAGCAAAAUAAAUGUAAAGUGCUGAUGUUAUCUUUAUAGAUUAUUUACGUAAACAGGAUUAAAUUGAAAUGCACCCUGGCCUAUUUUUUCAAUCAUUUUGAUAUAAAAAAUUAAUUAAGUAUCCAUUUGAUGGUGACACAUGUUUCAAAAAUGAAUAUCACAAAGUGCAGAGUUAGCGUUUCCAUUUAUUCUAGAGCCUGCUCUUCUCAUGUUGAAAAGUUAUCAAUUAAUCGUGAUCCUGUACGAAAUAAAAUUGUACGGCAUUAAAAGACCUGUUUUUUGUUCGGAAUUAGUCAUGAUUAUUUCAGAUUUACACCUGUAGCUUUUAUAUAACAACAUUGAUAUUUUUCAACUGUCACAGCUGCAAAACGACUGUAAAACAGUUUGUAUUAUAUAAACUAGCUUGCAGCCAUAAAAAGGAAAAAGUUACAGCUAUGAAUAUGCCUAAAAGUUACAGCUUUAUAAAUGUUGCAGGUGUUAGAAAAAGUAAUUCUCUAGAAAAUAUAGUAAUUAUUACAAAAAUGGAAAAAAAGAUCUAGUAAGAAAAACAGAACAGUAUGACAUAUGCUUACAGUAUAGCAAUUGCAAAAUUCAAGAGCAGGAUAAAGAGAAGAAACUAUGCAUCAGAUCUCGUUUGUUAAACUUUUCCUGUCAUGAAAACAGAUGACAAUCUUUUCGUCAUUUCUUUUAACUUAUCAGCUUCAAAUGUAGUGUAAACAGUUAAUGCAUUGUGCUUAUACGUGUUCUUUUACAAAUAUAUUAGAUAACUAAGAACUCUCUCAAUGGUUAAAAUUCCAAUAUUUAAGAAAGGUGUCCAUGUGAAUUUCAGUCAUAUCUCACCACAAUGCAUUUUUUAAAGAUAGUUGACAAUACUGAUGUUUCCCUUCAAAAAGGUUACAGCUGCGACAUGACCAUUUUACAGGUGAGAGUUUCAAUCGUAAUUUUACAGUGGUAUCUCUGAAACAUGCAUGUUUUACAUCUGUAAGUUUCAAUUAUGUUUCUGGUCAUUUUCAUCAUACUUCAUGUAAAACAGGUCCUAUUUUCGUACAGGACGGUAUGUCUGUGGUUCGAACUGGACAGGAGUAUUUUAUCCACCAGUGGGAUUAUAUCCAUUAGAAAUGUGUGUUUUAAUCAGAGUUGCAGAUGUUUGGUAUUUUCAUUCAUAAGAUUUAGGUCAUUCAGAUUGUAGAACUAUUUUUGUAUUUUUAUACCGCUGAUGUUUUACAAUUACUUGAUAGUUUUAUUUGAAACUUUUAUAUGAAAAUAAGACAUGGCCAGAUUAGAGCCACCAAGUCCUGUAGGAAGGUUAUUUCAUCAUUUUUGACUAAUAUGUCCUAUUUUCACUUACUUAUAAAUGGAUUUUUAUUAUGUAUUACUACAUUGUAGCUAAUUUGAGGCUGGCCAUUCAGCUAAUCUUAUAGUUGUUUUUAAUGUUUUACAUGCUACUUUUAUAUUUUAAGAAGAUGGUCAGAUAGAAGCCAGAUAUGAGAUGGUCUAAUUAUUGAUUUGUCAUUGAGUUUUGUUGUAAACAGAUUACGUAAUCAGGAUAAUGCACAUUCUUAAGUGACUAAAGUGCUCAGAGGUGUAUAAACUGAGCAGGAACUGCCCUCAGAAUUUUAUUCUUCAUCAUAUUUUCUAAACAACAGAAAAUGCUCUAAAAUAACUCAUAAAAUCUGCAAUAAAGUGUCACUAAUUGAAA